rnacentral:lncRNA from 1 species
GCCCUGCCCCCGGAGUUAGAACAGUAAGACUGUGCCUGUGGUAGCAGGACAAUGCAGCAGGUGCUUCAUGUACCCCUUUCACUUAAUUUUCUCAACUGAGGUGUAGGUACUAUUCUCCCAUUUUACAGAUGAAAAAAUGGGUUAGGUGGGCACUUGUCACAAGAGUGGCUCUGAAUGAAGAACCUCACAUUUGUAACUGCUUUGUAACUAAUGAGAUCCCUUGAAAUUUGGUAUUCUAGUUAACAGUAAAAAAAUAACAUUUAAAGAGAUUGUGUCAGUUUUGUGGUGGAAAGGGCCACAAAAGAGCGGUUAAAAAUAUACGCUUUUUAAUAGUAUUUAAUUGCAUUAAACCUAGUUUCCCACAAAGAGAGCACAUGUCAGCAUGUUAUGUGUUUCUAAUGUUCGUACCAUGAUGAGGUAUAAAAGAGGGAUUUAGGGGCUGUGACUGUGGCUCAGUGGUAGAGUGCCUAGCAUGCAUGAGGGAGGGUUCAAUCCUCAGCACCACAUAAAAAUAAAGAUAUUAUGUCCACCAAAAGGCUGAGGCAGGAGGAUGGUGAGUUCAAAGCCAACCUCAGCAAAAGCGAGGCAUAAGCAACUCAGUGAGAACCUGUCUCUAAAUAAAAUACAAAAACUGGCUGGGGAUGUGGCUCAUUGGUUGAGUGCCCCCGAGUUCAAUCUCCAGUACUCAAAAAAAAAAAAAAAAAGUCGGGAGAUUUAAAGGACACAGUGGUACUAGAUCACUAGAAUAUAUAAACAUUAGAUGGCUAUGGAGAAAGUUUUUUGGGAGGAAAUGUGAUGGUCUGCAAAGGUGCAUGCAGCCCAGAACACAUUCACUCCUUGUAACCAAUUUACUUGUCUAGCAGUUGACUUUUUUUUUUUAAUGAGCCUGAAUACAAAUGAGCUAUUUUCCAGAAACUUUAAAAUAAAGGUAUUUAAUAUUUACUUUGGAGUCAUUCU